CCUACGGGAGGCAGCAGUGAGGAAUAUUGGACAAUGGACGAGAGUCUGAACCAGCGAAGCAGCGUGAAGGAUGACUGCCCUCUGGGUUGUAAACUUCUUUUAUAUGGAAAUAAACUGCUCCACGUGAGGGAUUUUGUACGUACCAUAUGAAUAAGGAUCGGCUAACUCCGUGCCAGCAGCCGCGGUAAUACGGAGGUUCCGAGAGUUAUCCGGAUUUAUUGGGUUUAAGGGGUGCGCAGGGGAAGGUGCAAGUCAGCGGUCAAAGUGCGGGGCUCAACCCCGGACUGCCGUUGAAACUGCAUACCUGGAGUGCGCGAGAGGUAGGCGGAAUGCGUGGUGUAGCGGUGAAAUGCAUAGAUAUUACGCAGAACUCCGAUGGCGAAGGCAGCAUACCGGAGCGCAACUGACGCUCAUGCACGAAAGCGUGGGUAUCGAACAGGAGUAGAUACCCGUGUAGUC
rnacentral:rRNA from 1 species